AAGCAAUGUUAACUUACCGAAACCCGUCUCCUGUCUCAUGUAAUCACUUGAUCAGUGUUUCAAACGCAGAAAGACGACAAUAGCUUAAAC